GAAAUGCGAUAAGUAAUGUGAAUUGCAGAAUUCAGUGAAUCAUCGAAUCUUUGAACGCACAUUGUGCCCGCCAGAAUUCUGGCGGGCAUGCCUGUUCGAGCGUCAUUUCAACCCUCGAGCUCCCCUUUCGGGGGGAGCCCGGCGUUGGGGACCCGGCGCUAACAACGCCGGCCCCGAAAUGGAGUGGCGGCCCGUCCGCGGCGACCUCUGCGUAGUAACAACCACUCGCACCGGGACCCGGGCGCGGCCACGCCGUAAAACACCCCACCUUCCGAAUGUUGACCUCGAAUCAGGUAGGAAUACCCGCUGAACUUAAGC
rnacentral:misc_RNA from 1 species